GAGCUCACUUUGGCAACAUAUACAUUAAAAUUGGAUCAAUACAGAGCAGUUUAGCAUAGUCCCUGUUCAAGAAUGAGACACAAAUUCAUGACAAGUGCCAUAAAAAU